AAUAGGGUGACUGAAAUAUUAGGUGAUAAAUUGUAAAUUUAUUUAUGGCUAUUAUGGCCUCCUAUUA
rnacentral:tRNA from 1 species